rnacentral:tRNA from 1 species
GCGGGCGUCGUAUAACGGUCAUUACCUCAGCUUCCCAAGCUGAAGACGAGGGUUCGAUUCCCUUCGCCCGCUCCA